GCCGGCAUAGCUCAAUCGGCAGAGCAAUCGCCUUGUAAGCGAUAGGUUAGGGGUUCAAAUCCCCUUGCCGGCU
rnacentral:tRNA from 1 species